CAAGAUAAAAAAAAUUAGCCUGACAUUUGCAAAACCCUCAAAUCUAUCAGCCUCAGGUAAUUCUCUGUUCAUCUUCAUUAUUCAGCCUGAAUUCUGAUUUUUUGUCGUCGUUGAUGUGUUGUAUAUUUUGUUAAGCCAAACGAUGAUUCGAACUCGUGAUCUUGAUCAUCGUCUGUCGGGUUGAGUCUUGCUAUUAGGCUAUCAAUAAAUCUUCAGACGCCGAAUUUUAGUGGUUUUUAGAUUAAUUUACUGAAACGAUGGUUUUUGCAUUUCAUAUAGUUCAUUUUCUUGUGAUGCAAUUGCUUUUAGAAAAUUUAUGUAGAUCGGUCUCAUAUCGUUAAUUUUUUCAUAAAAUCCGAUGUUUUAUUACUGAUUUUUAACUAAAAGUUAGGAUUUGAUAAUAAAAUUUCUAUUGAGUUUUGACCAAAAAUUAUAAGUCACUCUUUCAUUAUUUUAAAAAACUGAAAAUUACAUCUUAAAGUAGAUUAAAAGUUUUUUCCAAUGACAUAUAUUUUCUAUUUUUUAAAUUGAUAAAAUAUUAGUAAAUUUCAGUCAAACUUUGGUCAAUUUGACCGCUACAAAACCAAAUGUGACAACUAAAAUGAUAUUAUUUAAUGAAUGAUUCUGUUUAUAGACUGAUACAGAUGUAUAAUCCUAUAAUUACUGGUCCAGGUGCAGGAUUUAAUAAUAACCUCUAAUAUCUAACUGAAGAGAGUAAAAAUAGGAAGUAAUUGAUUUUGUCAAAAAAUGAAUCUGCUAAAUGUGGCAUAUUUGUUAUUUCUUUCUGUCUCCUCCCUGCCAUUCAUCAAUUAAAAGCAAGAUAAAAAAAAUUAGCCUGACAUUUGCAAAACCCUCAAAUCUAUCAGCCUCAGGUAAUUCUCUGUUCAUCUUCAUUAUUCAGCCUGAAUUCUGAUUUUUUGUCGUCGUUGAUGUGUUGUAUAUUUUGUUAAGCCAAACGAUGAUUCGAACUCGUGAUCUUGAUCAUCGUCUGUCGGGUUGAGUCUUGCUAUUAGGCUAUCAAUAAAUCUUCAGACGCCGAAUUUUAGUGGUUUUUAGAUUAAUUUACUGAAACGAUGGUUUUUGCAUUUCAUAUAGUUCAUUUUCUUGUGAUGCAAUUGCUUUUAGAAAAUUUAUGUAGAUCGGUCUCAUAUCGUUAAUUUUUUCAUAAAAUCCGAUGUUUUAUUACUGAUUUUUAACUAAAAGUUAGGAUUUGAUAAUAAAAUUUCUAUUGAGUUUUGAAAUUUUGCGGGUGCUGUAAGCCUGUAAUCUUGGUCAGUCCCGUCUUGAUUCCGUCACUGAUCACAAACGAAAUGCAUGGCAUGUUUAGUUACUCUGAAAUGUUAGUUUUCCUCUAAGGCUCUAACUAGGUUGCUGUAAUGGCUAGUGAAGCUUUCAGGAGGUUAGAUAUAUCGAAAAUGGGGGAACCAAGAGUAGAAGAAGCACGUCCUGAGAUACCAAAACCAAAGAUCUCAUUGCAGAAACUAGAUGUACCACAGAAGAACCCAUCAGUGUCUUCACAACCUUCAUCACCACAGUCCAAGGGUGUCAAGUACAACUGCUUGUGCUCGCCAACCACUCAUGCCGGAUCUUUCAGAUGUCGACAUCACAGGAACAGUAUGUCGCGUCAUAGCAAGUCCGUUGGCACCAAACUUAAUGAGCUUGCUGGCAGCUCCUGACAUAGUCGCGGUAUCUGUAACUCAAGAAAUCAUAUGUAUUAAGCACUCUGAUUAUGCGCGUAUUGGGAAAGAUUUGGUUUCUUUCGUUCUGGACUCGGUUCCAGAACCAGACUAAUGUGUAAAGAUUUCAUAAUGUUGGUCUUUGUGAUCUUUCUGUUAUAACUGCAUUUAUGCUUGUUCACACAUUCAACUAUUCCAGUUCAUUAUUCUUUGUGCUCUUGGUGAAGAAAAUUCAGUAGUCGAAAGCAAAACAGAUGAAACUAUGCUAGUUAUCUCCGCGUUCCUGCAUAAACCGACAAACCAUAGUAAAA
rnacentral:lncRNA from 1 species